rnacentral:lncRNA from 12 species
CGCCCCGCGGUGCUGACCCCCUUUCCCUGCGCGCGGGGUUGCGGCAGGCGGCGGGACGCACAGGCAGCGGUGGCGGCCGCCGCAGCCCGGGAUGGGGGGGCGGGGGCGGGGGACCCAGCAGCCUCCCGCCUCCUGCCUCCCGCCUCGCGCGUGGCCUGAGGUCGGGGCUUGGCAAGUCCAGGGAGCCUGGGGGGCACCGGGGGGGCUCAGGUGAGUCCGUGAGAGCGAGAGGAUUGGAGACUGUAGAACAGGGCAGACCGAGCAGAGGCGCCGCGGAAACCCGAGAGAGGUGGAGCCACCAGGCAAAGCCUCAGCCUGCAGCGCCAACAAAGCCCCUUCAGAGCAAGCCCGAGGACUCCCUGGCAGAGGAUGGAGGAUGGUCGCAGACUGGUGGCGAAUCGGCUUUGAAGUCAAACUCUGAACCUAACUGCCCUGGACUCCAUGCGCUGCUGCCCCCACACAUCUGCCCUCCUCCUUUCCACUCACCUCUCAUCACAUUAGGCAAGAACAGCGUGUUCAUGGGUCCAGCUGAUUCUUCACUCAGAAAGGGAGCUACUGUAAAAGGUGGUGUGAUUCAACAGGCAGUUUCCUUGCGGGGAAACUGAGGUUCAGACUGGUGAUGCCCAAAGUCCCAUAACUGGUGAGCCUUGUACUCAGGUUCCUGAUUCCCAGCUCAAAGUGCCUGGAGGACUGGGCCCUGAAAAGGUUUGGGCCUUCAGUGGGGAGGGUCAUUGCCCUGGAAGCCAGCUGGUCACACUGGCUUAGCCUCACAGGGUGGCACUUUCUAGAUGAAGCACACAGUCCUGAGUCUUGCAGAUCCCCCCCAUUAGGUUAGGGCUGCAGAGCUGGUCAUGCUGAAACCAGGACACUCAUGCCAAGCCCAAAAGAGAUGGAUGCACCAGCCAGAUUGCCGAUGUUAUCAUUCUCAACAAAAAUUAAAUGCGAAGUGGUCUAGCCUAGUGCUGGUUCUGGAGUCAGGGAGCCUGAACUUGAGUCUUGGCUCUUCCACUUUACAAGCUGUAUAAACCUGAAAAACUAUUUAACAGUGCCUCGGUUUUCUCAUCUAUGGAAUAGGGAUAGGAAUGCUUACCUCACAGAGUUGUAGGUUGGUUUGGGUGAGUUAAUAUUUGUAAAUGGCUUGGAAUGGUUUGGGGCACAUAGCAUGGACUUAGGGAAGGUUAGCUUCAGUCACUAUUACCAUCAUCAUCAUUAUCAUCAUCACUGAAUGGACCUGAUGCUCAAAUGUAUGGGCCUCAUGGUCCCUCCUUUCUAGGCAAUUCUUUAUGGGAGCAGAAUUCUUGAUUAGAAGGCCACAGCGGCAGUGAAUUGUGGAAUCAGAGGAGAGGAAG